rnacentral:lncRNA from 1 species
GACCCUCCUGUCUCUUCCUGCUUCAGACUAAAAGCACACACCAACACCACCACACAUUUUUACAUGAGUUCUGGGAUCAAAACCUGGAUUCUCGUAGGUGCCUGGCAAACACUUCACAGACUCAGGUUCCUGUGGAGUUUUGAGAUGUGUUUCCUUUGACUUAUUUGUUUGCUGUUUCUUUCAGUCAACUAGAUGUGGCAUUUCCAAAGCCUUUACACUAUGAGAUCUCUGAGGGGAAAACAAAAAACAAAAAAACAAAAACCCAAGUUGUGAAUGGAUACAGAAGUUCAUGCUCAUAAAGCCACCAGGUGUCACUGUUGCGUUCCCAAUCAACCAUGCCUCCGGUAGUCUUGAUGAAUGUCAUUCUCAGCUCUGUGUGGAACACAGCCUGAGUGGCCAGCUUCAGCUUCAGCAACUGAGAGCACGGCCUGGCAGUGGCUCUCCAGUCACCACCCUCUCAGUCGCCUCCCUCAUGCGUGUCAUCCCUGAGCUCUCCUCUCCUCACCCAAGAAAGCAGAAAGCAUUGCCCAGGGGUUUUCAGACCCUACCUCUCAGUCCCAGCUGCUGCAUUCUAAGUUUUAUCAAAACAGGUAAAAUCCUUGCAAGCCAGUUGUAAACGGCAAACGUAAAAGACAAACGUGAGUGGCUGAUAUUUUGUAAAGGUCUUAUUUUUAUUAUUAUUUUUUUGAUUCUGCAUGCCUGUGCAUGUGUGCACUCAGGUUCAUGUGUGCACACGCAUGUGCCUAUGUGAGUGCAAGUGCCCUAGCAAGGCGGAGGCAUCGGGUCUCCUGGAACUGGAGUUGCACGUGGUUGGAAGCCAGACGUAGGUGCUGGGAGUGAGCACUGCGAGAGCAGCACGUGCUUCUUCUCUCCAGCUCCAUGUGUUGCCUUUGCAUAGAGGAAGGCUUUCUCAUUGGUCAGGAUGCCAUGGCCAGGAAGCUGGCAAGGGGGAGAUGUCAGGGUCUGGUUAUUUUCCUUUGCUUUGAAUCCCAUUGUUCCUACCUUCUCUUCCUGCACAGCCCACACCCAACUGUCAGUGAACCCCAUCUGUCCAGUUCUGCUCUCCAGGCUCAGCAAGGCGCACAUUACACGGUGGUAUUUUUAUUCGGCUUUAAAUGAAAUCAUGACAUUCGCAGGAAGACAGAUGAAACUGGAAGUUACUGUGUCAGGCUAAACCAGCCUGCUGCAGACAGACCAAUGCUGCUCACUUUCUCUUCUGCAAAGCCUAGACUUAAAGUGUGUGAGUGUGUGUGUGUGUGGGGGAGUGAGGUUGGGGGGACAGGACUAGAAGGGGAAUCAUGAAAAGAACAAAAGAGAGCUUAAGGAGGUUGUGGGGAGGAGAGUGUCUUAGGUUGCUUUCUAUCGCUAUGAUAAAACACCAUGACCAAAAGCAACUUAGAGAGGAAAGGGUUAAUUUGGCUUCCUCUUUCACAUCACAGUGUGCCAUUGAAAGAACCUGGCAGUGGCUCUCCAAUCCUGGAGGCUCUCCAGAACCUGGAGGCAGAGACUGAAGCAGAAGCAAUGGAAGAAUGAAUCUGUAUUGGCUUGUUCUUCAUGGCUUGCUCAGUCACACUUCUUACACCAUCAGGACUACCUGCCCCAGCUGGCGUGCCCACCGUGGGCUGGAUUCUCAGAUAUCAGCCAUUAAUCAGGAAAAUGCCAACUGGACAAUCUGGUGGCAUUGUCUCAGCUGAUGUUCUCUCUUCUCAAAUGACUUCAGUUUGUGUCAAGAUGACACAAAUAAACACC